CCCGCUUCCAACGAAAUCCUCAAAGCUAUCCAAAUAUCCACAUGCAGAAUCUUCAAAAAGAGUGUUCCAGAGGUACUGCAUGAAACGAAAGGUUCAAGUCCGUUAGUUGAGGACACAUAUCGCAAAUAAGUUUCUGAGAAUGCUUCUGUCUAUUUUUUAUGUGAAGAUAUUUCCUUUUCCACCAUAGGCCUCAAAGCACUCCAAAUAUCC
rnacentral:lncRNA from 1 species